rnacentral:rRNA from 1 species
GACGAACGCUGGCGGCGUGCCUAACACAUGCAAGUCGAACGAGGUCCAAGGGAGCUUGCUCCCUGACGACCUAGUGGCGAACGGGUGAGUAACACGUGAGAAACCUGCCUCGGAGUGGGGAAUAACUCGGGGAAACUCGAGCUAAUACCGCAUACCUUCACAUGAUCGCAUGGUCGAGUGAAGAAAGAACUUCGCUCUGAGAGGGUCUCGCGGCCUAUCAGCUAGUUGGUGGGGUAACGGCCUACCAAGGCAACGACGGGUAGCUGGUUUGAGAGAACGAUCAGCCACACUGGGACUGGGACACGGCCCAGACUCCUACGGGAGGCAGCAGUGGGGAAUCUUGGGCAAUGGGCGAAAGCCUGACGAAGCAACGCCGCGGGCGGGAUGACGGCCUUCGUGGUUGUAAACCGCUUUCAGCAGGGACGAAAUUGACGGUACCUGCAGAAGAAGCCCCGGCUAACUACGUGCCAGCAGCCGCCGUAA